UACGUAGGGUGCGAGCGUUGUCCGGAAUUAUUGGGCGUAAAGGGCUCGUAGGCGGUCUGUCGCGUCGGGAGUGAAAACUCAGGGCUUAACCCUGAGCCUGCUUCCGAUACGGGCAGACUAGAGGUAUGCAGGGGAGAACGGAAUUCCUGGUGUAGCGGUGGAAUGCGCAGAUAUCAGGAGGAAUACCAGUGGCGAAAGCGGCACCCUAGCAUUUUUCUGACGCUCAUGUGCGAAAAGCGUGGGGAGCGAACGGG
rnacentral:rRNA from 1 species